GCUGGAAUGGUCUAGUUGGUUUUAGCGACUGCCUAACACGCAGUAGGUCCCGAGUUCAACUCUCGGUUCUACUA
rnacentral:tRNA from 1 species